GAGUGACCUUCUCAGACUUUUACCUGUACGGAGAGAAUCCCUACUGCGGCUCGACUACAGAGACGUGCUGCUACUUUGAUGGCCUGGAGAUCAGAACCGACAACUUGUACGACGGUGAAGUGUAUUGUGGCACGGACAUCACUGCAGGCCAGACCUUCACUGGAACCGGUCAAGAGAUGGUUUUAUACUUCAGGGCGAUAAGUAAUAAUAUUCGCAGGGGAUGGUCUGCCCAACUCACCUUUGUGCCGCAACCGGGAUGCACAACCACCACUGCAGAAACCUCCACCACCACCACCACCACAGCAACAACAACCACCACUACAGAACCCACCACCAUCACCACCACAGCAACAACCACCACUACAGAACCCACCACCACCACCACCACAGCAACAACCACCACUACAGAACCCACCACCACCACUACAGAACCCACCACCACCACAGC